UACGUAGGGCGCGAGCGUUGUCCGGAAUCAUUGGGCGUAAAGCGCGUGUAGGCGGCUUAGUAAGUCUACUGUGAAAGUCCAGGGCUCAACCCUGGAAUGUCGGUGGAUACUGCUGAGCUGGAGUACGGGAGGGGCGAGUGGAAUUCCUGGUGUAGCGGUGGAAUGCGCAGAUAUCAGGAGGAACACCAAUGGCGAAGGCAACUCGCUGGGACGGUACUGACGCUGAGACGCGAAAGCGUGGGGAGCAAACAGG
rnacentral:rRNA from 1 species